AAUACAUAGACAUUUACUUGGAAUGUUUGGCACUAUUAAGUGCUAUAUUUUAUUUAAAUAUAAAACAUAUCAUUGUACUCAAUCCGUAUACGUCCAAUCACCGAGAAACAUAAAUGCAAUAAAACAAUAACGGUGCAAAUUGUUAAUACAGGUAUUAUUAAUAUCAUUAAUACAGGAGAUUAAUCGUAACCGUUGGAUAGGUAUAUCGCGGUAAUCUAUUGGAUAUGAUAACAGACGGCAUUGUAGUGUUUGCGAAUGACAAAGUUGAUUAUUACGUAUACGUACUAUGACUCUGUCCUGAUUUUUUGCUUACUGUUAUUCUAGAAUAAGUUACGAAUGCGAAUUCAAUAACGAGC